UUGAUCAAAGGUCAUUGGCUUCAUAGAUUAAGUUCACCGAAAUGUCUCGAGAAAUUACCCUAUGAGUCACUGGGUAAUUUCCGGAGACAUUUUCAACGCCAUAUCACUUCAGUUCUUUUUUCUCUGACAUUUUUGUUCAGUUAAUGAAAGAGGGACAUAAUAGAAGGUAAACUAGGUUCUUCAAGAGCUUUUUCAAAAAGAAGGUUAGUAAAGCUGUAACUGCAACUCAGGGGUAACAAAGUUGGUGUUGCUGUAAGUGUUGCUGUAAACCAGACAGCGACACACUGCGCAGUGCGACCGAAGUUCACCACAGAACAAAGGGCCAGAGGAGCAAAUAAAGACUCCGAAAAACCGAGGUACAUAGACCGGGUUACUCACUGGAUGCGACGCCAGGUGCCGACACACAC